rnacentral:rRNA from 1 species
CCGCAUGGUUUUGCUAUCAAAGAUUUUAUCGCUGAUAGAUGGGCUCGCGUCCGAUUAGAUAGUUGGUGGGGUAACGGCCUACCAAGUCGACGAUCGGUAGCCGGACUGAGAGGUCGAACGGCCACAUUGGGACUGAGACACGGCCCAGACUCCUACGGGAGGCAGCAGUGGGGGAUAUUGCACAAUGGGGGAAACCCUGAUGCAGCGACGCCGCGUGAGGGAAGACGGUCCUCUGGAUUGUAAACCUCUGUCUUCGGGGACGAAACGAGACGGUACCCGAGGAGGAAGCCACGGCUAACUACGUGCCAGCAGCCGCGGUAAUACGUAGGUGGCAAGCGUUGUCCGGAAUUACUGGGUGUAAAGGGAGCGUAGGCGGGCAGGCAAGUCAGGCGUGAAAUAUAUCGGCUCAACCGGUAACGGCGCUUGAAACUGCAGGUCUUGAGUGAAGUAGAGGUUGGCGGAAUUCCUAGUGUAGCGGUGAAAUGCGUAGAUAUUAGGAGGAACACCAGUGGCGAAGGCGGCCAACUGGGCUUUUACUGACGCUGAGGCUCGAAAGUGUGGGGAGCAAACAGGAUUAGAUACCCUGGUAGUCCACACCGUAAACGAUGAUUACUAGGUGUGGGGGGACUGACCCCUUCCGUGCCGGA